GAACUAUGUUGUCCUGCAUUUAGUGUCUAUUCCAGAUUUGAAGUGGAGAUACUUGUAACUGGCUUGAUACUGAUAUUUGCUUCCCAGAUUGACUCAGCAUCUAUUUCAGGAAGAUUUAGAGAACUGUCUCUAUCUCUUAAAUUAUGCUAGGCACUGUGAGAAAGGCAAGGAGGUUUACAACAUUAGCUCUGCACUCUGAAGCUUUCAUCUCUGUUUCUAGAUGGAAGAAAUAGAUAAAACGAAGAAAUUGUAUGUACUAAAUGCUAACAUUAUCUUAGUGCUAGAAGUUUUGGAGCGUUUUCUUUGGUAAAGGUGGUAAUUAAGGGCGUAUCUGUUUUGGAAGAAAAACUGACCUUGACAAUAAUCUUUCAAACGCAGUCUGACUUUAAAGAGGAAAUUGCAUGGCUGAGCCAGGAAAGCUAGCUCAGAAGUGAGCUUUCACUGAAGUCGCUGUCAUUUUACGAUGAUCUGGACCGCUUUAGAUGGAGCCCUCAGAAUACCCUGAGGAAACAGGCCGAAGCUACAGGUGAGGAGACUGAGGGCUGGAAGGAUGCAGUGACUUUUGCCAUCACUUAUGUUUUAUGGCCUUUCUCCUCUACCAAGAUUUAGUGCAAAAUCGUGCUAACAACAUGAGCGUAUCCUUGGCAAUAUUCUCCUACUUUAGUAUCACGUACAGUCCUGGAUGAAUAGAAGUGAAAAGAAGAAAGUGAAGAAGGUCCUGCUCCAGCUAUUCUGCCAAAGUCCUUGCAGAUCAGCUCAUGUAAUUCACAGAAUCAUCAGAGAACUUCUUCUGUCAGAGGAACUACGUCCGUUCUUUCCUGACGCCAUGAUCCUACCAGGUGUCUCCUGUACAUGCCACACGUACUCAGGACCGGCCCUCAGCAAGCAAGAAGUAAAUGUUGUCAACUAAUGUUGGGACAACAUGCAAAUCAAUUAUCCGCUGAACUCGUCUUUGCAGCCGCAGUUCCUCUGUUGUCUGCAGAACAACAAGGUUGUCUGUUCAUGCUCUCAGCUUCAGUUACACUCUUGUUUCUUUAGGUCAGCCACUCCUUUGACCAACUACCCUGCUUCAUGGCUUCUAGGAGGAUGAAUACCUAAGUUUGUGGGUGCUCACCUGUUCUUGGAAUUCUUUCUUGAUCGUGCUUUUCUCUAAGUCUAUUCUUGUAGUCCUAUUUGUUACCUGGCCUCUGAUAAUCCCCUUAAAGCUUUACCGUUUACAUCUUCAGUGUCUUCUUAACUUCUAUGCUUCCUAUUCCUCUUUCAGUAAACUGAUCCUACUUUUGCUCAUUCCCUGGCAUAAUGGGCAAGAACAUCAGCUCUGUAGAUGCUUGUACCAUAGGCCCAUCACAAUGAUGGGACAUGGCUAAUGCCAGGCAGAGUGGGCACACUUCUCAAAAUUGGACCCUGAUGCAAUGAAGCAGGACUUGGAUUCCAUUGAAAAUGUACACACGGUUACCUUAAUCAGGAAGUGAGUAAGUUAACAGGUGCGUAGAGGAAGAAGGCAUUUAGAAUCGACUAGACAAAGUUGGCAGUGGG
rnacentral:lncRNA from 1 species